rnacentral:rRNA from 1 species
UACGUAGGGGGCAAGCGUUGUCCGGAAUCAUUGGGCGUAAAGAGCGUGUAGGCGGCCCGGUAAGUCCGCUGUGAAAGUCCAGGGCUCAACCCUGGGAUGCCGGUGGAUACUGUCGGGCUCGAGUCCGGAAGAGGAGUGUGGAAUUCCUGGUGUAGCGGUGAAAUGCGCAGAUAUCAGGAGGAACACCGAUGGCGAAGGCAGGUCUCGUGGGCCACUACUGACGCUGAGAAGCGAAAGCGUGGGGAGCGAACAGG